UGUUUAAGGGGGAGGGGCGAGGCAAACUCCUAGGGGUCUGCGUACUGGGUGAGGUGAAACUUUUUGUCUGCACUCCUUGAGGAGGAGCUGAGAGAAAUGUCUUUGUGAGCCGCUCGUUUUUUAAAAAAAGUGUUUUUCUCUCUCUGAAACAUUUUUUAAAGUUGAGGUUUUUCACUUGAUUUGAAAAACUGGACUGGAAUAGGUGGGGUGCUAGGAGCAGGGGCGGAGGCAAGGAUUUAAAGAAGCCGUACCAGCGAGAGCGCCUUAGGCCCCCAGGAGAAGAGUGAUCCAGGGCCGAGUGGCUUGGGUCUGCCGCAAUUCUGGGGCUUGUGUGUCUCCGGAUCUCGCCGCCGCGACUCCGGAGAAAUCCCGUGCUGGGCAAACAGCCCCUAAUAUAAUAAUAGCUUGUCUCUUUAAAAAGCAAAAGGGGGGGGGGAAAGUUUUGUUGGCAUCUGGUUUCUGAUCUCAUUAUGUUGUGGUCGACCAAUCCAGCCCUCGGGGCUGGUCCUGGGGUUUAAAUCUGAUUGGCCGAGAGCACAUUUUGGGAUGGUGCUUAGAGCUCGACGGGGCGGUUUCAAGGAUCCCUUUUUUGGGGGGCUGAGAGGAGGGCGGGGCCGCCGGCGGGGGCCCCCUUGAAACCGACUAAUUGGGAUCGGAGAGGCCGAGGUUGCUUUUAAAGAGAACUCUGUUCGAUGCCCCCAGCAGGUUUGUAAUUAAAACUGUAAAUAGUCUUGUAAAUUUAAUUAUAUAUUUUCUAUUUAAAAGAAAAACGGAAAAAAAAGGGGGGAGCGCCAAGGGGCCCCGAGGCUGAGGAAUGAAGGGAGGGGGCUUUGGGGGGCGUCCUCUCCUUUCUUCAGUGCCCUUUUCAAACACCAUCCCCUACUUUGGUUCGAAUAUUUUGGUGUUUUGGCAGGGCUGGGCCUGCUGGAAGAGGUGUUUCUGGGACGAGGUGGAUGGAGGAGGGGGUUAGAUUCAACUCCCAGAGCCAAAUCUGUGAGCCUUCUCGCUGGGCCUGUGGAAGUCGCUGGGUGUUUCCGAACAAGACUUGGGUUCCUCUUGUUUUAUUCCCUUUCUCUCCCCACAUGACCUGUCUCCUUCACUCGAUCUUUGGAGCAUUCCCCAAAGAGAUCGGGCUAACCCCGCGAGUGGGAUGGGGGGACAGGGCGAGAUGGGGUGCGGAAUGGCCGCCUCCCCCCGCAGGCUGGAAGAUCAUUCUUCUCUUUGACUUUUCUUUUCAGCUUGCUGCCCCAAGCGCUUGGAGUGGGCAGAAAGUGCUUUGUAGUGCUUUGUGAAAUGUGUUCCGAAACAAAACCGCCCCCCACCCCACCUCCGCCACUACCUUGAGUACCAAUCCUGACUGUCUCCAUUUUUAGGGAGAGCCUUAGCUCACAAAUGUUGGGGUUCUGAGAUGCCCUUGUGUCUUUCCCCUUCCCUUGUAGUUGGCUCCCUGCCACUUCCCAACCGAAUAUCUUCUCUGGCAUUCAGUUAAGAAGUUUGCAGGUUGGUUUGUGCUUUAUGUGUGGGUUUUUGUUGUCCCCCCCCCCCCCCCCCCGCGCGCAAAAAAAAAGCAAUAAAAAUGGGUUGAGUUGAAGGGAGGGGACGGAUAGGCUGGUGGGAUUUUUAGUUUAACUUUGACAAAAGACUUCUUUUCAAACUUGUCCAGAAAGGGAAACGAAAAAAAAGUGGGUAUCUUUGCUUUAGAAGAAGGCUCUAGGCAGUCUCUUUGUGACUGUGGGGGUGGGGUUGGGUGUUUACAGGACAUUCUAUAUCUCAAGAUUGAUAGAAUGUUUACAACAGAUGUUUCUUAUCUUCUCCCUAAAACCCCAAAAUAAAAGGCAAGACUUUUCUUAAAGUGUCUUUCCCGCUGGUAUGAGAAUUGAUUGCAAUUUCCAAUACACAUCAUUUCCCUCAACUAUUUGGAAUAUUUUAGAAUUUUAACUCCAAAUGAUUGAUUUGAAGACCAAGGGGUGGGGUGGAACCAGUAUGGCACAGAACCCAAUUUUUCACCAUCUCCUGUUUCUUGAUAAUAGUGCAAAUUAAAAGCUAAUAAUCAUAAUAAAGCACAUUUAAUUAUCUUCUAGAGAUCUAGCCCUUUAAUUGUAUUUAACAGGGUUGUAACAUUUUAUUAGUUUAACCAAACCACACACCCCCUUUCCCUCUCCCCGGACCUACUUGGUUGGGGGUUGGGGUGGAGAAGAGGUUCCCUGCCCCAGACCUUGCUUUUUUUUUAGCUAAAAUAUGGGGGAAAGGGUGCCUUACCACCCUUUGUUGGCAUUCUUUGGGAUAAGGGAGAAAGUAAGUUAGAACCCCUACUUCCAUUUGUUUGUGUGUGUUAGUUUAUGUUGGGGGAGGGGACCUGGAAAUGUUUGGUGGUAAUUGAAGUCGUAUGUGGGGCUUUGUUUGGAAUUGUAUGAAGCCUGGGGAUUUCAGCAGAGCCCCCUUCUCAAAAUAUGUAACCUUCCACCAAAUGAUUUGUGUGGGGGAGGAGGGGUCAACGUUAUAAGUUAAAACUAGCUUUUUCUCAACUGAGGGCGUGUACCAAGUCCUAAUAUGAGAUGAUAUCAACUAUCAAAGCAGCAGGCAGGGGAGCCACUCCCCUGUAGCUCCAUUUGUUGCAAAAUUCUAAAGGAACCCCACAAGGCCUGGAGGAAAGAGUUAAAUUACAAAUUGAGCAGGGAUGGCCAGUGAUUUUGAACUUCCUGGUAAAGAACUCUGGGGCAGGACUUUGGGUCUCCCUGACCUGAGACAUGGCUACAGAUGGAAGAAGCGUUGGCUCUACACCAGCCCAUCCAUCAGCUGAAUAUCAUUAGGUGUCCUCAGCGAUGCCUGUGGAACAGAAGAACCACCCAACCAAGCCUUACCCAAAUUCCUGACCCAUAAAUUGUGGGAUAUAAUAAA